UGCGUAGGCGGAAUGAUAAGUUAGUGGUGAAAGACCCCGGCUCAACCGGGGAACUGCCAUUAAUACUGUCAUUCUUGAGUAUAGUUGAAGUGGGCGGAAUGUAUCAUGUAGCGGUGAAAUGCUUAGAUAUGAUACAGAACACCGAUAGCGUAGGCAGCUUGCUAAACUAUAACUGACGCUCAGGCACGAAAGCGUGGGGAGCAAACAGGAUUAGAUACCCUGGUAGUCC
rnacentral:rRNA from 1 species